AGUGAACGCUGGCGGUAGGCCUAACACAUGCAAGUCGAACGGCAGCACAGAGGAGCUUGCUCCUUGGGUGGCGAGUGGCGGACGGGUGAGGAAUACAUCGGAAUCUACUCUGUCGUGGGGGAUAACGUAGGGAAACUUACGCUAAUACCGCAUACGACCUACGGGUGAAAGCAGGGGAUCUUCGGACCUUGCGCGAUUGAAUGAGCCGAUGACGGAUUAGCUAGUUGGCGGGGUAAAGGCCCACCAAGGCGACGAUCCGUAGCUGGUCUGAGAGGAUGAUCAGCCACACUGGAACUGAGACACGGUCCAGACUCCUACGGGAGGCAGCAGUGGGGAAUAUUGGACAAUGGGCGCAAGCCUGAUCCAGCCAUACCGCGUGGGUGAAGAAGGCCUUCGGGUUGUAAAGCCCUUUUGUUGGGAAAGAAAUCCAGCUGGCUAAUACCCGGUUGGGAUGACGGUACCCAAAGAAUAAGCACCGGCUAACUUCGUGCCAGCAGCCGCCGUAA
rnacentral:rRNA from 1 species